GGUGGCACGGCCCACGCGAGAAGGUUUGCCAACCCGGUCAGGCCCGGAAGGGAGCAGCCGUAACAAAUUU
rnacentral:SRP_RNA from 1 species